GCAAAGUGAGGAACAGAUUUUGGACAUCAUGAAAGGGCUGCAAAAUGUUAGUUACUAUUGCAAUUUUAUUGCAAGAGGAGGAGCCUUUUUGGGAUUUUCUGCCUUGUAUCCCAAAAUAUCUUGGCUGGUUUUGGCUACUACUGUAUGCCUCUUGGUUUGGGUGAUGGCUGCUUCUCCGCCUCAGGUAACUAAAUAUCUUGGACUGGUCUAGACAGAGGGGAACUCUGUUUUAAAGAAACAAGGCCAGAAGCACUGAAGGAGGAGCAUGAAGGGGAGAAGGCGAGGGCCCAUCUAUAAAUCUUGGCUGAAUGAACCUUGGCUUGGUACAGAGAGAUCAUUAGGUCUGAAAGGCCUCCUAUGUUCCUUUCUUAUUCUCACCUUAAGAAGAAUUUUUAAAGACAUGUUUAAGCUCCUUCAGGAUAUUUAUGGCAUAAAGGAACAGCUCUUUCUCUUGUCAAUCAACUUUAUUUUAAAAAGCUUGGCAUUUUCAGCAUAUAAAGCAAAGUACCAAAUGAAACAAAUCUCAGAUAAAUAAUUUUAUUUAACGAAAAAUGCAUAUUUAAUAUUCAUGCAGCAGCACAACGGGGCGUGCACGAUGUGCAUGCAAAUAAUGACUAGUUCUACAAUCAACCAGAAUAAUGUGUGUAAUUUUUUCUCUCUCAAAGCAAACCCCACAAAGAGAGUAAAUGCAUUAAGGAUGGCUAAUUUUACCUUCUCUCUCUCUCUCUCAACAUAAUGUUAACUUCCUUUAAUUAUUUUGAAUUUCCCUGCUGGCAAUGGUUUUUAAUCCUUUUCUUUGUGGAUAUGCACAUGGUCAACAUUCAGGGCUGGCAGUCUGGCACAGGAGAGACAGAAGCCUGGCUCAGCAGGGCAUUAAAUAUAAAAUGGCUGCUCCCCAACUCAUAAACACCUAUCUUCUCUUAAGCUCCAUGGAGACAGUAGAUGGAGUGGCCCAGGGAACCUCUAGCCAGUUCCAACACGGAUUCCAAUUAACUCAAGGGCUGCAGAAGAGGAAGCCAAAACUGGGAAUGUGGAACCCAGCGAAGAAAAAGCAAAAACAAUGCACAUUUUUGCAUUUUCAUUGAUGAGGGUUUCCCUCAGCAGGCAGUGCAGAUGAGGUCACUCAUUUAUUUAAACAUCUCUCCACCCACCCUCCCUUGGCUAGAUUUUGAGGAGCGGAAGUAAAAUGUAGUGAGAAUUAUCUCUCUAUCCUGUAUGACUAAUGGCUGGAUGUAGGGGGUGGCUGGGUAUGGUGGGGGUGUUCCUUCCUGUGUUUUAGAAAGGAAACCAGACGUGUCAUCACUGAUUUGGCCAGCCUGGAAUAGAACGAGAUGAACUAAAAAGAGCUCAGUGAUGUAAUUUCGGGAGCCCUGAUGCACUUUGUCAGCUGUGAGGCUCAACUGACCAGAGAGCACAGCACAGCUGCUGUAAUUGCUUCCUUACACUUCACCACACAAACAGAAUCACCACAUCACCCUUCUCGGCAGCCCAUUCCUUGCAAACACGUG
rnacentral:lncRNA from 1 species